AUGGUCACAUGUUGUUUAUAACUGAACCGUCUUUCACUCUUUUUUCCCUGCUCUGCCUCUUUUUCUCGGUGUCUAUCCCACUGUCAGGCUGACCCUGGUGAGAAAGGGCCAAUCGGAGAGCCAGGGGACAAAGGAAUAGAAGGAGACCCUGGGCCCCUAGGACCACCCGGAGGGCCUGGGAAACAGGGCUUUCGUGGGCCAGAAGGAAAACUAGGGCCCCCAGGGAACAGUGGACGGCACGGAAAGAAGGGAGAGAAAGGUCCUCCAGGUCUUGUUGGUGAGAUCGGCACACGAGGAGACAUCGGCCAGUCAGGCGAGCCGGGGCUGAAAGGUGCCAGGGGAACUCGAGGAACACCAGUUAGUUCCCAUUCUUCCUGUCUUUCCUCUCACUUAAUGCUCAGAAUCAGACUGGAACUUUAGUACAGAGAUAAGUGAUCACAUUAAAGUCCA
rnacentral:lncRNA from 1 species